rnacentral:rRNA from 1 species
CGUGAGCAACCUGCCUUUCAGAGGGGGAUAACAGUUGGAAACGACUGCUAAUACCGCAUAACGCUGCGAUGGGGCAUCCCGAUGCAGCCAAAGGAGCAAUCCGCUGGAAGAUGGGCUCGCGGCCGAUUAGCUAGUUGGUGGGGCAACGGCCCACCAAGGCGACGAUCGGUAGCCGGACUGAGAGGUUGAUCGGCCACAUUGGGACUGAGACACGGCCCAGACUCCUACGGGAGGCAGCAG